CGAUUAGUGAAAUAUUAGAAGUGAAUAUUAUGGAUUUUGCAGCCUAGCCAUGCAAAUAGUACUAGGUCGCUAAAUAUACCGACCGGUAAGCCGCUGACCUGUCGACGGAUGUGCGCGAGUCCGCUAGGAUUGGCAGCCAUGCUUGCAAACACCAACCUCUCCUCAUAGUCGUACUCGCACAGGAUUUUGUUGUCGCAUAGGCAAAUUGUGGAAGCAACUCAUUAUGUCCGGCUUACCGGCCAUCAGUUACGUUCCAUUAAAGGAUUGAAGCGGUCGACAGUUAAUGGACAA